CUACAUGGUGGUUGCAUCGAAAUCUCAGGUAGGAGAAAGAGUUGAAAUUGCAGUAGCGAAUUUGAGAAAAUGGGUGGAGGAGGAAUAACAUACAAGGGAGUCACCGUACAAACUCCGAAGACGUGGCACACCGUCGCCGGAAAGGGCUUGUGCGGCGUCAUGUGGUUCUGGAUUCUGUACAGAGCAAAGCAAGACGGUCCUGUAGUCAUGGCAACACUCUCACUCUUUGUUAGGGAUGGAGGCACCCCUGGGAUGGCCAUGGUGAUCAUGGUCACGGUGACCAUCACUAGGUAAUGAACGUGAUCGGGCUUUUGAUGGUUCUUUACCACAUUUUGCUUAUCGCGGGGAAUAUUGAAAAAAGUCUAGUGGAACCUUUGAAGAUCAUGAAGAAAACCUGGUCGUCUCUGUUUUAUUUUCAGCCUCAGAUGUUCAAAUAAAGAGAACCGUGAAGAAGACUUCCAUAUUAUUUGUAUACACACUUUUUGUAAGACUUGCUGCGUGAUGUUUCUUAGCUUGCUACUUCUGUUGGUGUUACUGAUGAUAUUUGUUGUUGUUUUUUUCUUUUGAAAAAGAUGAUAUUUGUUGUUUUUCUGUUUACAAACAAAUGAAAUUAAAAUUAAAAUCGAGCGCUAA